UGGGGGAUAUUGCACAAUGGAGGAAACUCUGAUGCAGCGACGCCGCGUGAGGGAAGAAGGUCUUCGGAUUGUAAACCUCUGUCUUUYGGGACGAAGGAAGUGACGGUACCGAAAGAGGAAGCCACGGCUAACUACGUG
rnacentral:rRNA from 1 species